ensembl:lncRNA
GGCAUUCCUUGUGGGCAUACUUCCCAGGAGAAGCAGAUGCUUGUCAGAGUCACAAGCCUGCCCCAUAUUUGCCAAGACAGCACAAGCCUGGAAUAGCAAUUAUGCGACUUACAGCCUUGGACCCUGGGCAAGUCCCUGCACCAUCAUCUGUCAAGGAAAAUCCACUUCAUAGGAGACAGUGCAGACCAACUUCUUACCCAGCCCACAUUUUUAAGCAGGAGACUAGAGUCUAGCCCCUGGGUUGGGAAGAUCCCCUGGAGGAAGAAAUGGCAGCACACUCCAGUAUUCUUGCCCAGAAAAUUCCAGGGACAGAGGAUCCUGGUAGGCUAUAGUUCAUUCGGUGGCAAAAAGAGUUGCGUGUGACUGAGCACACACAAACAAUUUUACA